GGUACUUGAUGGGUACUAAAUUUGAAACAAUUGAGGCAAGAAUAACACCUAAUGUGAGUGUGGCAUUCUACAAAGAUUGGUCUAUAAGAACAGGAACCAGCAUCGACGUUCUUCAUAUUUCCAGCAUCUUUUGAAGGCGAGUAGAGAUAUAAAGCUUCUGCAAUCGGCAAACUUGGAGGAGCUUGUGUCAUCUUGUUUACUAGUUAUCAAA